rnacentral:rRNA from 1 species
AACCGUAAACGAUGACAACCAGCGAUUAAUCGGCGUUAAUAUAUGACCCGAUUAGCAGCUUCCGGGAAACCAAAGUUUUUCGUUUCCGGGGGAAGUAUGGUUGCAAAGCUGAAACUUAAAGGAAUUGACGGAAGGGCACCACCAGGAGUGGAGCCUGCGGCUUAAUUUGACUCAACACGGGAAAACUCACCCGGCCCGGACACCGUAAGGAUUGACAGACUGAGAGCUCUUUCUUAAUUCGGUGGGUGGUGGUGCAUGGCCGUUCUUAGUUGGUGGAGCGAUUUGUCUGGUUAAUUCCGAUAACGAACGAGACUCUGGCCUAUUAAAUAGACGAUAUAUUUAAAAGUAUAUCGCGCUUCUUAGAGGGACAAGCGGCGUCUAGCCGCAUGAAAUAGAGCAAUAACAGGUCUGUGAUGCCCUUAGAUGUCCGGGGCUGCACGCGCGCUACACUGAAAGAAUCAGUGUGCGUUACGCCUAGUUCGGAAGAACCGGGUAACCCAAGUAAAUUCUUUCGUGCUUGGGAUAGGGAAUUGCAAUUAUUUCCCUUAAACGAGGAAUUCCCAGUAAAUGCGGGUCAUAAGCUCGCGUUGAUUACGUCCCUGCCCCUUUG